rnacentral:rRNA from 1 species
GAUGAACGCUGGCGGCGUGCCUAAUACAUGCAAGUCGAGCGAACGGACGAGAAGCUUGCUUCUCUGAUGUUGGCGGCGGACGGGUGAGUAACACGUGGAUAACCUACCUAUAAGACUGGGAUAACUUCGGGAAACCGGAGCUAAUACCGGAUAAUAUUUUGAACCGCAUGGUUCAAAAGUGAAAGACGGUCUUGCUGUCACUUAUAGAUGGAUCCGCGCUGCAUUAGCUAGUUGGUAAGGUAACGGCUUACCAAGGCAACGAUGCAUAGCCGACCUGAGAGGGUGAUCGGCCACACUGGAACUGAGACACGGUCCAGACUCCUACGGGAGGCAGCAGUAGGGAAUCUUCCGCAAUGGGCGAAAGCCUGACGGAGCAAUGCCGCGUGAGCGAUGAAGGUCUUCGGAUCGUAAAACUCUGUUAUUAGGGAAGAACAUAUGUGUAAGUAACUGUGCACAUCUUGACGGUACCUAAUCAGAAAGCCACGACUAACUACGUGCCAGCAGCCGCGGUAAUACGUAGGUGGCAAGCGUUAUCCGGAAUUAUUGGGCGUAAAGCGCGCGCAGGCGGUUUUUUAAGUCUGAUGUGAAAGCCCACGGCUCAACCGUGGAGGGUCAUUGGAAACUGGAAAACUUGAGUGCAGAAGAGGAAAGUGGAAUUCCAUGUGUAGCGGUGAAAUGCGCAGAGAUAUGGAGGAACACCAGUGGCGAAGGCGACUUUCUGGUCUGUAACUGACGCUGAUGUGCGAAAGCGUGGGGAUCAAACAGGAUUAGAUACCCUGGUAGUCCACGCCGUAAACGAUGAGUGCUAAGUGUUAGGGGGUUUCCGCCCCUUAGUGCUGCAGCUAACGCAUUAAGCACUCCGCCUGGGGAGUACGACCGCAAGGUUGAAACUCAAAGGAAUUGACGGGGACCCGCACAAGCGGUGGAGCAUGUGGUUUAAUUCGAAGCAACGCGAAGAACCUUACCAAAUCUUGACAUCCUUUGACAACUCUAGAGAUAGAGCUUUCCCCUUCGGGGGACAAAGUGACAGGUGGUGCAUGGUUGUCGUCAGCUCGUGUCGUGAGAUGUUGGGUUAAGUCCCGCAACGAGCGCAACCCUUAAGCUUAGUUGCCAUCAUUAAGUUGGGCACUCUAAGUUGACUGCCGGUGACAAACCGGAGGAAGGUGGGGAUGACGUCAAAUCAUCAUGCCCCUUAUGAUUUGGGCUACACACGUGCUACAAUGGACAAUACAAAGGGCAGCGAAACCGUGAGGUCAAGCAAAUCCCAUAAAGUUGUUCUCAGUUCGGAUUGUAGUCUGCAACUCGACUACAUGAAGCUGGAAUCGCUAGUAAUCGUAGAUCAGCAUGCUACGGUGAAUACGUUCCCGGGUCU